GGAGAAGUGGCCGAGAGGGGACACCUCGGCCCCUUGGCCGGAUUUCUAGCAGAAAGGGGCUUGAAGCGCCUUUUGAACGCGGAAGAGAACUGCAAGCUACGCUGACGGAACAGGGGUGGCAGUCACAGACUAGACGGAGUUUCGCUCUUGUUACCCAGGCUGGAGUGCAAUGGCGCGAUCUCGGCUCACCGCAACCUCUGCCUCCUGGGUUCAGGCAAUUCUCCUGCCUCAGCCUCCCGAGUAGCUGGGAUUACAGGCAUGCGCCACCUUGCCCAGCUAAUUUUUUUGUAUUUUUAGUAGAGACGGGGUUUCACCAUGUUGACCAGGAUGGUCUCGAUCUCUUGACCUCGUGAUCCACUCGCCUCGGCCUCCCAAAGUGCUGGGAUUACAGGCGUGAGCCACCGCGCCCAGCCCAAAGUUCUUAAGCAUUACAUUAUUUCUAGGUAUAUGAUUGUGUCUCUAUAUAAAUUAGUAAGUGUUUUUGUAGUGCAGUCUGUUGUUACCCAUAUUAAAGUUUUCCUUCUCUUUGAGCCAUGAAUUUUAAGAAUUAAUUCAAUAGAGCUUAUCUUUGUGAGAACAAAUAUGUGCAGGGCUAUUUAUGGUAUCGAUUUGACAAGUUUAAGGAGAUAAUUUUGUGGCUAUUGCAUAAACUUUUUCUUGUAUCUCUAUAUUCACAUCUUUGGAUAAUAUGCUCCAUUGUGACUCUGACCAAUGUGUCCAAUAGGACAGUGCCAAGUGUAACACAGAAGUCAGAAAUAAGCUUGCUCAUAGAGGCUUGCUUUGUCUUGUAGAGAUCUAACACAUUGUAAUAAAGCACCCCCCCGCCACAACUAGCCUCUUGUUGACUCUGUAAAGGCCUCAUCUAUUCCAGCAGAAGCUCAAAUAAGUGAGUAAAACUAUUUAGACCGUGCAACCCCAGUCAAAAUGCAACCACUAGAGCCUCCAGCCCAGCAGUCCCAAUUGUUACUAAACUCUGUGGACAGGCAUAAACCCAUGGGUGUGAAGGGGUCACCUAAUCUGCCAUUCAGGUGCUCAUCCCUGCUCCUAGCCAAGCAGGACUUGCCAGCUUGCGGGGUGUCCAAGUAGGGAGGGGCCCUCACUCUCGGAUCACCAUAAGAGGUGAGACACCUUGGUCUGCAGGACAUUGGAGAAAUCGGGUGUGCCUUCCUCUGUAGGGUCACCUGGCAAUGAUAUAGCCUGUCUGCAAACCAUGAUCUCUGCCUGAGGGAACCCCAUGAGCAGAGGAUGCCAAAGGCCUUGCGAACCCACCCCUUACACUAGAUUUAAUGAUUGCCCUGCUGGAUUUCGAACUUUCAUGGAGCCUUUGGCCCCUUUCUUGUGGCUUUCACCCUUUUGGAAUGAGAAUAUUUACCCAAUGUCUAUACCCUCAUUGUAUCUUGGAAGAAAAGAACUUGAUUUUACAGGCUCACAUGUAGAAGAGGCUUGCCUUGUCUCAGAUUAGACUUUGGACUUUUGAGUUAAUGCUGGAGUGAGUUAAGACUUUGGGGGACUGUUAGGAAGGCAUGAUGGUACUUUGCAGUGUGAGGACAUAACAUUUGUGGGGGAGGAGGACCAGGGAUGAAUGAUAUAGCUUGGGUAUUUGUCCUUGCCCAAAUCUCAUGUUGAAAUGUAAUCCUCAAGGUCAAAGGUGAGGCUUGGGAGGUGUUUGGGUCAUGGGGGCAGAUCCUUCAUGGGGGUUUGAUGCUGCCCUUGCGAUAGCGAGUACCAGCAAGAUGUAGUUAUUUGAGUGUGUGGCACCUACCACCCUCCACUCUGUCUUGCUCCUGCUCCCUCUUCACCUUCCACCAUGAUUGUAAGCUUCCUGUGGCUUCCCCAGGACCAGAUGUCAGUGCUACGCUUCCUGUACGGCCUGCGGAACCAUGAGCCAAUUAAACCUCUUUUCUUAUAAAUUA